rnacentral:rRNA from 1 species
UUCCAGACUCCUACGGGAGGCAGCAGUGGGGAAUAUUGCACAAUGGGGGAAACCCUGAUGCAGCGACGCCGCGUGAGCGAUGAAGUAUUUCGGCAUGUAAAGCUCUAUCAGCAGGGAAGAAAAUGACGGUACCUGACUAAGAAGCCCCGGCUAACUACGUGCCAGCAGCCGCGGUAAUACGUAGGGGGCAAGCGUUAUCCGGAAUUAUUGGGCGUAAAGAGUACGUAGGCGGUUCUUUAAGCGCAGGGUUUAAGGCUAUGGCUUAACCAUGGUUCGCCCUGUGAACUGGAGGACUUGAGUAUCGGAGAGGAAAGCGGAAUUCCUAGUGUAGCGGUGAAAUGCGUAGAUAUUAGGAGGAACACCAGUGGCGAAGGCGGCUUUCUGGACGAAAACUGACGCUGAGGUACGAAAGCGUGGGGAGCAAACAGGAUUAGAUACCCGCGUAC